rnacentral:tRNA from 1 species
GGGGUUGUGGCUCAGUGGUAGAGCACUAGCCUAGCACAUGAGAGACACUGAGUUUGAUCCUCAGCACCACA